rnacentral:rRNA from 1 species
UACGAAGGGGGCUAGAGGUGGUUGGAAUUACUGGGCGUAAAGCGCACGUAGGCGGAUUAGUAAGUCAGGGGUGAAAUCCCGGGGCUCAACCUCGGAACUGCCUUUGAUACUGCUGAUCUCGAGCCCGGAAGAGGUGAGUGUAAGACCUGGUGUAGAGGUGAAAUUCGUAGAUAUUAGGAAGAACACCAGUGGCGAAGGCGGCUCACUGGUCCCGUACUGACGGUGAGGUGCGAUUGCGUAGGGAGGAGGCGGG